AUUCGAACCUAGGACCUUUGGAAUACUAGCCCAAUGCUCUUCCAACUGAGCUACUGGGCUAGUAUUCCAAAGGUCCUAGGUUCGAAUCCCACCGU